GCAAGUCGAACGCCCCGCAAGGGGAGUGGCAGACGGGUGAGUAACGCGUGGGAACAUACCCUUUCCUGCGGAAUAGCUCCGGGAAACUGGAAUUAAUACCGCAUACGCCCUACGGGGGAAAGAUUUAUCGGGGAAGGAUUGGCCCGCGUUGGAUUAGCUAGUUGGUGGGGUAAAGGCCUACCAAGGCGACGAUCCAUAGCUGGUCUGAGAGGAUGAUCAGCCACAUUGGGACUGAGACACGGCCCAAACUCCUACGGGAGGCAGCAGUGGGGAAUAUUGGACAAUGGGCGCAAGCCUGAUCCAGCCAUGCCGCGUGAGUGAUGAAGGCCUUAGGGUUGUAAAGCUCUUUCACCGGAGAAGAUAAUGACGGUAUCCGGAGAAGAAGCCCCGGCUAACUUCGUGCCAGCAGCCGCGGUAAUACGAAGGGGGCUAGCGUUGUUCGGAAUUACUGGGCGUAAAGCGCACGUAGGCGGAUAUUUAAGUCAGGGGUGAAAUCCCAGAGCUCAACUCUGGAACUGCCUUUGAUACUGGGUAUCUUGAGUAUGGAAGAGGUAAGUGGAAUUCCGAGUGUAGAGGUGAAAUUCGUAGAUAUUCGGAGGAACACCAGUGGCGAAGGCGGCUUACUGGUCCAU
rnacentral:rRNA from 1 species